rnacentral:rRNA from 1 species
UGGGGAAUUUUGGACAAUGGGCGAAAGCCUGAUCCAGCCAUGCCGCGUGAGUGAAGAAGGCCUUCGGGUUGUAAGGCUCUUUCAGGUGGAAAGAAAACGCAUAGGUCAAUACCUUGUGCGGAUGACGGUACCAUCAGAAGAAGCACCGGCUAACUACGUGCCAGCAGCCGCGGUAAUACGUAGGGUGCGAGCGUUAAUCGGAAUUACUGGGCGUAAAGCGUGCGCAGGCGGUUAUGUAAGACAGAUGUGAAAUCCCCGGGCUCAACCUGGGAACUGCGUUUGUGACUGCAUAACUAGAGUACGGCAGAGGGAGGUGGAAUUCCGCGUGUAGCAGUGAAAUGCGUAGAGAUGCGGAGGAACACCGAUGGCGAAGGCAGCUCACUACGGAUGUAUCGACACUGAGGCACGAAAGCGUGGGGAGCAAACA